CUGGUUCUUCAGUGUUUGUUUUCAACAUGGAUCGGGGCUCUCCUGUGUGGUCAGAGUGGUUAGUUUUUAACAGAGUCAAUGCUCGUGCUAGAAAAGGAUUGGUAUUAGGUCCUAUGCGACUUCUCCUAAGCUUCUCUGGUGGUCAUGUGGUCGGUAAUUUUCCGCCUCAUGAAGCAUUUGUACUUGGUGGAACCAAUAGU